UUACGGCCAUAUCACGUGGAAACAUCGGUUCCCGUCAGCUCACCGAGGUUAAGCAACAUCGAACCUAGUUUGUACAAAGACGAAUGACCAGGGAAUACCAGGUGCUGUAA